AGCUUGCUGGGCGGAUUAGUGGCGAACGGGUGAGUAACACGUGAGUAACCUGCCCUUGACUUCGGGAUAACUCCGGGAAACCGGGGCUAAUACCGGAUAUGAGCCGUCCUCGCAUGGGGGUGGUUGGAAAGUUUUUCGGUCAGGGAUGGGCUCGCGGCCUAUCAGCUUGUUGGUGGGGUGAUGGCCUACCAAGGCGACGACGGGUAGCCGGCCUGAGAGGGCGACCGGCCACACUGGGACUGAGACACGGCCCAGACUCCUACGGGAGGCAGCAGUGGGGAAUAUUGCACAAUGGGCGAAAGCCUGAUGCAGCGACGCCGCGUGAGGGAUGAAGGCCUUCGGGUUGUAAACCUCUUUCAGCAGGGAAGAAGCGCAAGUGACGGUACCUGCAGAAGAAGCGCCGGCUAACUACGUGCCAGCAGCCGCGGUAAUACGUAGGGCGCAAGCGUUGUCCGGAAUUAUUGGGCGUAAAGAGCUCGUAGGCGGUUUGUCGCGUCUGGUGUGAAAACUCGAGGCUCAACCUCGAGCUUGCAUCGGGUACGGGCAGACUAGAGUGCGGUAGGGGAGACUGGAAUUCCUGGUGUAGCGGUGGAAUGCGCAGAUAUCAGGAGGAACACCGAUGGCGAAGGCAGGUCUCUGGGCCGCAACUGACGCUGAGGAGCGAAAGCAUGGGGAGCGAACAGGAUUAGAUACCCUGGUAGUCCAUGCCGUAAACGUUGGGCACUAGGUGUGGGGCUCAUUCCACGAGUUCCGUGCCGCAGCAAACGCAUUAAGUGCCCCGCCUGGGGAGUACGGCCGCAAGGCUAAAACUCAAAGGAAUUGACGGGGGCCCGCACAAGCGGCGGAGCAUGCGGAUUAAUUCGAUGCAACGCGAAGAACCUUACCAAGGCUUGACAUGCACGAGAAGCCACCAGAGAUGGUGGUCUCUUUGGGACACUCGUGCACAGGUGGUGCAUGGUUGUCGUCAGCUCGUGUCGUGAGAUGUUGGGUUAAGUCCCGCAACGAGCGCAACCCUCGUCCCAUGUUGCCAGCGGGUUAUGCCGGGGACUCAUGGGAGACUGCCGGGGUCAACUCGGAGGAAGGUGGGGAUGACGUCAAAUCAUCAUGCCCCUUAUGUCUUGGGCUUCACGCAUGCUACAAUGGCCGGUACAAAGGGCUGCGAUACCGUAAGGUGGAGCGAAUCCCAAAAAGCCGGUCUCAGUUCGGAUUGGGGUCUGCAACUCGACCCCAUGAAGUCGGAGUCGCUAGUAAUCGCAGAUCAGCAACGCUGCGGUGAAUACGUUCCCGGGCCUUGUACACACCGCCCGUCAAGUCACGAAAGUCGGUAACACCCGAAGCCCAUGGCCCAACCGUUCGC
rnacentral:rRNA from 1 species